rnacentral:rRNA from 1 species
UACGGAGGGGGCAAGCGUUGUUCGGAAUUACUGGGCGUAAAGGGCGCGCAGGCGGCUGCUCAAGUCAGGCGUGAAAGGCCUGGGCUCAACCCGGGAAUUGCGCUUGAGACUGGGCUGGCUUGAGUGCGGGAGAGGAUGGUGGAAUUCCCAGUGUAGAGGUGAAAUGCGUAGAUAUCGGGAGGAAUACCAGUGGCGAAGGCGGCUUCUUGGCCUGUUCUUGACGCUGAGGCGCGAAAGCUGGGGGAGCAAACGGG